GUGAAUCAUCAAAUUUUUGAGCGCAAAUUGCACUCUUUUCGGAGAGUAUGCCUGUUUGAGGGUCAGCCUAUAAAAAUCGAUAUCGUCGUUGUUUCGCGGUGGCGUUUGUUGGUAUUUGGGUGAUUUUAAAUCCUUUUGAUUUAAGCGAAUUAAAAUUUUUUUUUGGUUACAUGAACGUUUCUAAGAUCUAUUUCUUUACACGUUUAAGGUAUCGAUUUUUACUUGCUGUGAUUAUCAUGUCGGAUCGCGUCGAUAAUCUUUUAUUAACUGA
rnacentral:misc_RNA from 1 species